rnacentral:rRNA from 1 species
ACGCCAUGGCGGGCGCGGGAAUCGAUUAUUAGAUCCCUGGUAGUCCACGCCGUAAACGGUGGGCGCUAGUUGUGCGAACCUUCCACGGUUUGUGCGACGCAGCUAACGCAUUAAGCGCCCCGCCUGGGGAGUACGAUCGCAAGAUUAAAACUCAAAGGAAUUGACGGGGCCCCGCACAAGCAGCGGAGCAUGCGGCUUAAUUCGACGCAACGCGAAGAACCUUACCAAGGCUUGACAUAUACAGGAAUACGGCAGAGAUGUCGUAGCCGCAAGGUCUGUAUACAGGUGGUGCAUGGUUGUCGUCAGCUCGUGUCGUGAGAUGUUGGGUUAAGUCCCGCAACGAGCGCAACCCUCGUUCUGUGUUGCCAGCAUUAAGUUGGGGACUCACAGGAGACUGCCGGGGUUAACUCGGAGGAAGGUGGGGAUGACGUCAA